UACGUAGGGGGCAAGCGUUGUCCGGAAUCAUUGGGCGUAAAGAGCGUGUAGGCGGCCAGAUAAGUCCGCUGUGAAAACUCGAGGCUCAACUUCGAGCUGUCGGUGGAAACUAUUUGGCUAGAGUCCGGAAGAGGAGAGUGGAAUUCCUGGUGUAGCGGUGAAAUGCGUAGAGAUGGGGGAGAACACUCGUGGCGAAGGCGGCCAGCUAGACCAGUUCUGACACUGAGGCGCGACAGCGUGGGGAGCAAACAGG
rnacentral:rRNA from 1 species